CCUCUUUUGGUUUGCAUCAACGCCUCCAGUCUUUAUAGGAGGCGUUGUUUGCAUUAGCGACAAGUUGACGUUGCCCUAACCGCAUGUGAGAAAGUGGCGCCCUCUUAAAGAGCCUGGCCGAAGCGAUCUCGGGUAAUCAGCGCAUCGCGUGUUUGAGCUCGUGCGCGAUGUGCAUGGCGCUAGGAAAAUGGCGCACGUUGCUGUACGCAAGGCGAAACUACAGUGGCUGUAGCGAAACGCUACUAUCGAUCACCGUGACAUGCAGAACUUUGUUGUAAUUUAGUAAGCUGGCGGUCUCAGAGCCUGCGGAGCAUGGUGCCCAGAUCGACGACGACAAAGGCUCGAGAGCUGCCAUCCGUGUGCACAACCCACCGGGAGGACGAUCAUCUGGCAUCUGGUAGACAUCGCCGCAUAGCUUCCAUGAUGACGGUGGCAUUCGACUCUGCUAACUGCCACCUAAUCGCCGCCGCUGCUUGUCAGCUGUCCUGCCGCCCAAUGAAAUGGCCGCGAUCCAAUUUCUUUCCAUCUCCCUGUUGUGCUUGUUGUGUUGCCCUUACCAAUCCAAACUACUUCAUUAUUUUAUAACGCAGCAUGCGCGGCAUUCGCUAAAUAAAGUAGCAUCGAUAUCAUGA